rnacentral:lncRNA from 1 species
AGCAUUGGAUGUCAUUCGAACUAAGAUAUGUGCCAUUGGUGCAACUCGAGAUAAAGUUGAGACAUUUUAGGAGAUAUAAAUUGCAAAGAUAACAGAAAAAUUACAAUUAAACUUUGGAAUGGAAAUGGAUAACAAGCAUUCAUGUAACGAUAAUAAUGAUGGUGGUGGUGAUGAUGAUAGUAACAGUAGCAGCAGUGGUAGUAAAAAAAUUAACAAAUUAGAAGUAUCGAAGGGAUAAGCAUCCACACAUAAAAAAGACAUGC